rnacentral:lncRNA from 1 species
GCAAGUUGGAGCACUUGAGCAUGUACGGAACUAUUCAGCAAUUUCUCUGGUAGGCUGUUGUCUUCUAAAUACGUUUGUCUUGUUGGCAGAGCUCUAUGUAAAUUAAGUCUAUUCAGACUCUUCAAUGAAGCAUAGAAGAACAGGUUCAAACUAUUUGUCUGAACAUGACUUUACCAUCCACGUAGCUCUUCAGCUUUUCCAGAAGCAGUAGCAAUGACUUGGGUUGGAGCUGGAUGCUUUGUGCUCGGUCUUGGAAGAACAAGCUUGCAUUCCCACUUAAGAAUAUCAUCCUGCAGUAUCUGGAAGAGAUUGUUGCUGAUUCUGCUUCUUCGUAACUCUGUAGCCUACAGCAGCCAGAAAGACUGUGGGCAAAGCCCCUAUCUUACUCUCUCCAGGGAUGGAAGCCAAAGUUAUCCUGUGCCACUUAGUUGCAAAGCAGAGAGGAAGAGGAGGGACCCACUCACCACCUGCGUUAGCUGCUCCUUGGACUCGGUAUGA